rnacentral:rRNA from 1 species
UGUGAGUGGGAAAAAAAAAAAGUCCAAGGUUUCCGUAGGUGAACCUGCGGAAGGAUCAUUACAGUAUUCUUUUUGCCAGCGCUUAAUUGCGCGGCGAAAAAACCUUACACACAGUGUUUUUUGUUAUUACAAGAACUUUUGCUUUGGUCUGGACUAGAAAUAGUUUGGGCCAGAGGUUUACUGAACUAAACUUCAAUAUUUAUAUUGAAUUGUUAUUUAUUUAAUUGUCAAUUUGUUGAUUAAAUUCAAAAAAUCUUCAAAACUUUCAACAACGGAUCUCUUGGUUCUCGCAUCGAUGAAGAACGCAGCGAAAUGCGAUAAGUAAUAUGAAUUGCAGAUUUUCGUGAAUCAUCGAAUCUUUGAACGCACAUUGCGCCCUCUGGUAUUCCAGAGGGCAUGCCUGUUUGAGCGUCAUUUCUCUCUCAAACCUUCGGGUUUGGUAUUGAGUGAUACUCUUAGUCGAACUAGGCGUUUGCUUGAAAUGUAUUGGCAUGAGUGGUACUGGAUAGUGCUAUAUGACUUUCAAUGUAUUAGGUUUAUCCAACUCGUUGAAUAGUUUAAUGGUAUAUUUCUCGGUAUUCUAGGCUCGGCCUUACAAUAUAACAAACAAGUUUGACCUCAAAUCAGGUAGGAUUACCCGCUGAACUUAAGCAUAUCAAAGGGGGGGGGGGAA